GAUGAACGCUGGCGGCGUGCCUAAUACAUGCAAGUCGAGCGAACGGACGAGAAGCUUGCUUCUCUGAUGUUAGCGGCGGACGGGUGAUUAACACGUGUAUAACCUACCUAUAAGACUGGGAUAACUUCGGGAAACCGGAGCUAAUACCGGAUAAUUUUUUGAACCGCAUUGUUCAAAAGUGAAAUACGGUCUUGCUGUCACUUCUAGCUGGAUCCGCGCUGCAUUAUCUAGUUGGUAAGGUAACGGCUUACCCAGGCAACGAUGCAUACCCGACCUGAGGGGGUGAUCCGCCACACUGGAACUGAGACUGGGUCCAGACUCCUACGGGAGGCAGCAGUAGGGAAUCUUACGCAAUGGGCGAAAGCCUGACGGAGCAACGCCGCGUGAGUGAUGAAGGUCUUCGGAUCGUAAAACUCUGUUAUUAGGGAAGAACAUAUGUGUAAGUAACUGUGCACAUAUUGACGGUACCUAAUCAGAAAGCCACGGCUAACUACGUG
rnacentral:rRNA from 1 species